UGUGGGAGUGACAGCAGGACUGCUUCUCAUAUUAGUUCCAGUCAUCAUUUGGUUUGUGAAGACACAAAAAAGACGUCAAAGACAAUGUCAGAUGGACAGGAAGAAGGAUACACAGUGUGCCAGAAACACAUGUGACAGUCCCCAAGGAGAGACUGAGACAGAUGAUGAAGCCGAUUAUGAAAACACCAAAACUAUUUUCCCGCAGAAGGACGAUUCAAACAACUCUGAUAACGACUACAUUAUUGUUGAUGCUCAAGAACAAAUAAGUGAUGUGGACAAUGACAAAGAGGAUGUAGAAAUUUAUGCAAACUGUGUAGAGUAGUGCUGAGAACUAAACAAUUAUCCAAUAUCUACAGUCCACAAACAAUAACAUGGUUAAUUUGAAUAAUUUUCCGUUAUUAAGAUAUUAUUAUUUUCUAGUUGUUUUAAAUAACACCACUUUUAGAAUCAGUUUGUUUUCAUCUGUUUAGUCUGCUUAGAUGUUACUACAUUAAAACUUUUAUUUUCAUGUUCUUACUAGAUUAUUGUUACCUGUUUAUCUCACUGCUACUUGAUAUUAAAAUGAUUUAGAGGUCCAAUACAAAUUGGUCCUUUUUCAUUUUGUAUUUUAAUGUUAAAUAUUGAAAUGCAUCAAGAUUUAAAUUAUAUAUCAGUGUUUUCCAUAAACUACUGACAAAUCAAAAAAUAAUGAUAGGGUCACCUGAAAUUUAGUUUUUAAUUCUUAUAUCACUCCUAAACUUCCAAAACAGUCAUAUAGAGUCAAAUGAUAUUUUGAAAUUAGAUUUAGAUUUAAAAUGUCAUAUAAUUUUUUAACUGUUAGACUCAUUUUGUCUAUUUCUUUCCUAACAUUGAUAUUUAUUUUAAUUGGGUUUCAUUUGCUUUCCAUAUUUUGUGAAGAAUUUAUUGAAUUUUAAAUGUAUUUUAUCCAUUUACUUCAUUUAUUCUCUUACCUUCCUGCAACAUACAGUCAGGUCCGGAAGUAUUUGGACAAUGACAGAGUUUUUGUGAUUUUGUCUUUAUACACGACCAUAAUGAAUUUGAAAUAAAACAAUCAAGAUGUGA